rnacentral:rRNA from 1 species
UACGAAGGGUGCAAGCGUUACUCGGAAUUACUGGGCGUAAAGCGUGCGUAGGCGGUUCGUUAAGUCUGUCGUGAAAGCCCUGGGCUCAACCUGGGAAUUGCGAUGGAUACUGGCGAGCUAGAGUACGGUAGAGGAUGGUGGAAUUCCCGGUGUAGCGGUGAAAUGCGUAGAGAUCGGGAGGAACACCGGUGGCGAAGGCGGGUCUCUGGGCAAUUCCUGACGCUGAGGCGCGAAAGCGUUGGGAGCAAACGGG